CCUACGGGUGGCUGCAGUGGGGAAUAUUGGACAAUGGGCGAAAGCCUGAUCCAGCCAUGCCGCGUGUGUGAAGAAGGCCUUCGGGUUGUAAAGCACUUUCAGUGGGGAAGAAAGCCUUGGGGCUAAUACCCUCGAGGAAGGACAUCACCCACAGAAGAAGCACCGGCUAACUCCGUGCCAGCAGCCGCGGUAAUACGGAGGGUGCGAGCGUUAAUCGGAAUUGCUGGGCGUAAAGCGCGCGUAGGCGGUCUGAUAAGCCGGUUGUGAAAGCCCCGGGCUCAACCUGGGAACGGCAUCCGGAACUGUCAGGCUAGAGUGCAGGAGAGGAAGGUAGAAUUCCCGGUGUAGCGGUGAAAUGCGUAGAGAUCGGGAGGAAUACCAGUGGCGAAGGCGGCCUUCUGGACUGACACUGACGCUGAGGUGCGAAAGCGUGGGUAGCAAACAGGAUUAGAUACCCAGUAGUC
rnacentral:rRNA from 1 species